UGGCGGCAGGCCUAACACAUGCAAGUCGAGCGGUAGCACAAGGGAGCUUGCUCCUGAGGUGACUAGCGGCGGACGGGUGAGUAAUGCCUANGUAUCUGCCCAGUCGAGGGGGAUAACAAUUGGAAACGACUGCUAAUACCGCAUACGCCCUACGGGGGAAAGGAGGGGACCUUCGGGCCUUUCGCGAUUGGAUGAACCUAGGUGGGAUUAGCUAGUACGUGGGGUAAUGGCUCACCUAGGCAACGAUCCCUAGCUUGUCUGAGAGGAUGAUCAGCCACACUGGAACUGAGACACGGUCCAGACUCCUACGGGAAGGCAGCAGUUGGGGAAUCUUGCACUAUGGGCCAAAAGCCCUGAAUGCCCACCCUUGC
rnacentral:rRNA from 1 species